ACUCAACUCAAAAAGAAAUAUGUCAUUUUGCAGGAUUCAAAAAAUAAUGCACACAGAAAAAAAGUCACCCAUACAAUGUUGUGAAAUGCUGGAAUGUUAGGAAUUGCCAGAAUAAUAUCAGUAGCCUUUGCAAAG